rnacentral:rRNA from 1 species
AUUGAACGCUGGCGGCAUGCUUUACACAUGCAAGUCGAACGGCAGCGCGGGCUUCGGCCUGGCGGCGAGUGGCGAACGGGUGAGUAAUGCAUCGGAACGUGCCCAGUAGUGGGGGAUAGCCCGGCGAAGGCCGGAUUAAUACCGCAUACGACCUGAGGGUGAAAGCGGGGGACCGAAAGGCCUCGCGCUAUUGGAGCGGCCGAUGUCGGAUUAGCUAGUUGGUGGGGUAAAGGCUUACCAAGGCGACGAUCCGUAGCUGGGCUGAGAGGACGACCAGCCACACUGGGACUGAGACACGGCCCAGACUCCUACGGGAGGCAGCAGUGGGGAAUUUUGGACAAUGGGGGCAACCCUGAUCCAGCCAUGCCGCGUGCGGGAAGAAGGCCUUCGGGUUGUAAACCGCUUUUGUUCGGGAAGAAAUCCUCUGGGCUAAUACCCCGGGGGGAUGACGGUACCGGAAGAAUAAGCACCGGCUAACUACGUG